GGGGGUAGUUGAGUUUCUGGUGUGCUCCUCGGUCUUCAAAACCGCUGUUGGGCGUUAAGAGCGUCCUGGGUGGGUUCGAUUCCCACAUGCCCUCGCCA
rnacentral:tRNA from 1 species